rnacentral:rRNA from 1 species
GUCCUAAGGUAGCAAAUUUCCUUGUCGUCCUAAUAACGACCUGCAUGAAACAUCAUAGAACGAUUCGAUAGCUGUCUUGCACACAUCAUGGUAAAAUAUUCAUCAGUACAAAGAAUAUGCUGGUGAGCUAAGACCACACUAAAGGACAAAAAGACCCUCUGAAGCUUUAUAGGGAUAAAAUCUAGUACACAUCCAGGCGUUUAUAAGCUGAUGGCCCAAGAAGUCCUUCCCAGUAUUUAAAUGCUAUCUUAAUGAGCUUAAAAUUAAUCUACCAACACCAAGCUACUCUACCCAAUAUUAAAACUCAAGCUUAUCAUCACCAAAAUCUGUAGCUAGCUUAUUGGUGGGAGUGCUCAUCCCGUAAAUCGGUACGUGAGCUGGGUUCAAUACGAUGGAA